CAUGUCUUCCCAGCCUACCUUACCCAGAUGGCUUUCCCUUCUUCUGAAUGCCUUCUGUGUUUGCUGCCAGACUGCCUGAUGAAAUGUUCUACCGGUGCUGAUUCAUCUCCCUUCCAGUCCAUCCGGUCACAUGACACAUGCCUGUGUUGUUCAGAGUCUGGUUGUUAUGAUACAUGUCUGCGGGUCAUGGAUGAGACGCCUGGCUAAAGCUCUAAAGAAGAUGUGUCCCUGUGUGGGUCUGUGUUCUACCCUGCUGCAGGGCAUGGUGGCUUGGGAGGCAAAAGGAGGCCUACGUGACUGCAGGUCACCUUUUCUUAUGUGGGAAGUAUGAUACGUGUUCCAGGCCAGGAAUUUGGCAGGGAGCAGGGAGGUGCCUACCAUCUCAGGCUGUAUAAAGAGGCAGAUUCCUGGAUAAAGUCGAAUUAUGCAUGACGAUCUAUACCAGGACCCAAAUCUCAGGUAAUUGGUUUCUGCACACAGACGGGCACCAACUGUCGAAUAAGACCUCGGAGCUCCUGCUUCCUGACCUGCUUGAGUUCCAGUCCUGACUUCCUUUGGUGAUGAACAGCAAUGUGGAAGUGUAAGCUGAAUAAACCCUUUCCUCCCC